GACGGAGGGUGCUAGCGUUGUUCGGAAUCACUGGGCGUAAAGGGCGCGUAGGCGGCGUCGCAAGUCGGCUGUGAAAGCCCGGGGCUCAACUCCGGAGGUGCAGCCGAGACUGCGGUGCUCGAGGCCGGAAGAGGAGGGUGGAAUACCCAGUGUAGAGGUGAAAUUCGUAGAUAUUGGGUGGAACACCGGUGGCGAAAGCGGCUCUCUGGUCCGGACCUGACGCUGAGGCGCGAAAGCGUGGGGAGCAAACAGG
rnacentral:rRNA from 2 species